UUUGUUGGGCUUGGGGAUUCGUAUUUCAAUCGUGGUUGGGCAUGAUAGUGGGUUUGUGGGGUUGGGAUUCACCUGAAUUUGGAGAUGGUGUUCAAUGGUUGAAUAUCGAUUUAUGGCAUUCGCGAUUUAGGGUUCUCUGAUUUAUGUGAUUUGGGGCUCAAUUUCAAUUGCGUAUAGAGACUGAGGAAUUAAACGUCGUUUGUCGUCGAGUAAGCUGACGUGAUGUCAUAUCUGCAAGGAUUGAAAUGGAAGUUUGGGGAGUGAGGGAUGGAGGCAGAUUUGUGUAAGUCCAAUGACCACUCGACAGCAUAAGGAAGUUCGGUGACCACAUCGUGACAAUAGGUGAAGUUCAGUGACUGAUGAAACUUUUUACUCGGUCACAUUAUAUGAUUUAGAGAAUUCCAAGGCCGAAUUUCAUUAAACUAUAUUAUAGCAUGCAUUUGUACUAUGUUAGUGCAUGCUAUAGCAUAGUACAUUUUCAGUGGAAAAAUUUUAGUUUCCUUAUAUGACUCAAAUUUUUAUGGAAACAAAUUUUGGGAUAUCUUUUAAAGACCUAGAGUUGUCCAUAGGUAGUUGAUCAUGCAUUACAAUACAUUCAUAUAGGUUAUAGGGCACAGAAAGAGGCAAAAAAAAAACGAAAAUCGAU
rnacentral:lncRNA from 1 species